rnacentral:tRNA from 1 species
GGUAAUAGCUCAGUAAUAGAGCACGUGCUUAACAUGCAUGAGGUCCUGGGUUCAAUCCCCAGUACUUCCA